UGAGGAAUUUUCCGCAAUGGGCGCAAGCCUGACGGAGCAAUGCCGCGUGUGUGAAGAAGGUCUUCGGAUUGUAAAGCACUUUCGGCGGGGACGAUGAUGACGGUACCCGCAGAAGAAGCCCCGGCUAACUUCGUGCCAGCAGCCGCAGUAAUACGAAGGGGGCUAGCGUUGCUCGGAAUGACUGGGCGUAAAGGGCGCGUAGGCGGUUUGUACAGUCAGAUGUGAAAUUCCUGGGCUCAACCUGGGGACUGCAUUUGAUACGUGCAGGCUUGAGUGUGGAAGAGGGUUGUGGAAUUCCCAGUGUAGAGGUGAAAUUCGUAGAUAUUGGGAAGAACACCGGUGGCGAAGGCGGCAACCUGGUCCAUUACUGACGCUGAGGCGCGAAAGCGUGGGGAGCAAAC
rnacentral:rRNA from 1 species